AUGUGGCUUAAUUUGACUCAACGCGGGAAAUCUUACCGGGUCCGGACACACUGAGGAUUGACAGGCAAUAUAUGUGACUCUUCGGAGUUUGCAUUGUUAAAUAUGCUAGUCCUUUCAUGAUUAUGUGAUAGGUGGUGCAUGGCCGUUCUUAGUUCGUGGAGUGAUCUGUCUGCUUAAUUGCGUUUCAAAUUACUUAUAAGGUAGCAAUACGCGAUGAAGCUUUCAAUAGUCCUCACGGAUUCACUUGAGUCUCUCGCUUCGCUAUCCUUUCGAAUGCAACGAACGUGACCGCAACCUCUUGUUGCCUUCGUUUAACAUCCUGCAGCUCGCUGUGGGUACUGAGGGCUUCACUCGGUGACUUUGGGCUGAGCAAUCGGUCUCUUUUGAUCUGAGUAAACUAGAGGGACCGCUGUCAACUUCUUAAACCAGAGGAAGGUUGCGGCAAUAACAGGUCUGUGA
rnacentral:rRNA from 1 species